rnacentral:snoRNA from 1 species
GAAGAGGUUAAUUCCACACAGUUUAAACCAUAGAAAUAUAUUAUCCUGCUAAAAGAAAAGUCGUGUUGACUGUUCCUGAUUUUGCCAUUCUGGGGAUAAAAUCAUGACAGCUUGACAUGGACAGUU